rnacentral:rRNA from 1 species
UACGUAGGUGGCAAGCGUUGUCCGGAUUUACUGGGCGUAAAGCGCGCGCAGGCGGAUUGGUCAGUCCGGGGUGAAAUCUCACGGCUCAACUGUGAGCGGUCCCCGGAUACUGCCAGUCUCGAGGUGUCUAGAGGAGAGCGGAAUUCCCGGUGUAGUGGUGGAAUGCGUAGAUAUCGGGAAGAACACCAGUGGCGAAAGCGACUACCUGGCCUGUUCUUGACGCUGAGGCGCGAAAGCUAGGGGAGCAAACGGG